ACCCCAUGUUUUGAUGUUUGUAUCUAGCAUAAUAAAAAAUUCUCUUCUUAGCUUAAUAUCUGACACGGGUUGUAUUUGAACCUAAGAUAUUAAAGCUGUUUUUGCAAGUUGGCUAAGUGCUUAACGCCUGCUUCGCCUCCGCCGCGGGUCGGCCCGGUAUUGCACUACUUUCGAGAGCGGCCCACGUAUG